rnacentral:rRNA from 1 species
CCGCUUCUUGGGAGUCACUACCUGCUUGGCUAUGUCGACGGCUCUCUCCCUUGCCCUCCUGCGUUGGUUGACAGCGUGCAUGGUCCGGUCUAUAAUCCGGCUCACCGUGUCUGGACAGGGCAGGAUCAGGCGAACCUCUCCUCCAUCCAGGGGUCACUCUCUCCGGCCGUUGCUGGGCUUGUUGUCUUCGCCAAGACGUCCCACGAGGCAUGGACUAUUCUUGAGCGCUCGUUCGCGGCACAGUCGCAGGCUCGUGUAUCUGGGCUCCGUCGCCAACUUGGGGAGUGUCAGAAGCUUGACUCCACCGCCACUGAGUUCUACAACAAAGUCAAG